UCACACAUUUUUUUCCAUUCUUGUCAUACGUCUCUCUCUCUCUCUCUCUCUUCUCUUUCUCUCCUUUCUCUCCAUUGACAUCUCACACAAACACACGAACACCACCACCGACCACCACCAGCCACUGCCCCUCCGAUGAUGUUAGUUACACGAGCACCAAUCGAUUGAUUUAGAGCCACAGUGAUGUUAGUUACACGAGCACCAAUCGGUUGAUUCCGAGCUUGGCGUUCGAUUCAAAUUCCGAGGUUGGAGUUCGAUUCUGAUUCUGAGCCCCUUCCAUGGAUUUGAUUUCUUUGGGAGAAGAGAUGUCUGAAUUGUGAACUUUGGCAUGCAUGUGCUAGUCCUCUUGUUUCCCUACCUGCUGUUGGAAGCCGCGUGGUGUAUUUCUCUCAGGGCCAUAGUGAGCAGGUUACUACAUCAACCAACAAAGAAGUGGAUGCCCAUAUACCUAACCACCCAAGCUUAUCUCCACAACUCAUCUGUCAGCUUCACAAUGUGACCAUGCAUGCAAGGAAUCUUUAGUUCUAUUUUCUGGUUCUGGUUAUUUUACAAGGUGGUUUCUAGAAACUCAAUUUUUUUACUAGGCGAAUGUGGAGAUAGAUGAGGUAUAUGCUCAAAUGACCUUGCAGCCACUGAGCCCGGUACGCUAAUCUAUUAUUGAAGUUUAUUUACCAGUUUUAUGAUCUACUUUUUUCUUUUCUUUUCCCUAGAUAUAAGAUGAUCCAUAUUAUAGGUAAUCUUCUGAUCAAACUCUUCUACCUUCUACACACAAAUGGAGUGAAAACUCCUGGAUAUGUACUUUAUUGAGUGAAUAAUAGUGAAUGAUGUGAAUGCCCAUUUUCUUAUUAACAGUUGAAUCUUGAAAUUGUCAACUAGCAAGAUGAGUAGAGAGGUACUUUAUUUCUCAUUUAACAUAAAAUUGAAUUUAUAACCAAUUGUUGUCCACAUUAUUUCUUAUUUGAUGAUAAUGCAAUUUAGGCCAUUUAAACAGUGUACAAUGACCUAAAUGGUUUGUUUUUGGUUUGGAAUGGAUAGCCAUGAACAAUAUUAUAAAAAAAAAUAUUAUACAAAUUAACAAUAUAUAUAUAUAUAUAUAUCAAGAAAAGAAUGUUAUUGUUAAAAACUCCCAUCACUACCCUUCUUAUUUAAUUUUAUUUUUAUUGAUUUAUUUAUUUAUUUAGCUUUUUUAAUAAUCAACAGAAUUAUAGAAGAGUUGUAGUGACUUAUUGUUAUAGAUUAUGCUUCUACACAUUUACCUUACUUCACGAAAAAAGAAAAAAAAAAGAAGAAAAAAAAAGAUGUUGAAAUUUUUUAUUUAGUUUUGAGUUAACUAUGUGAUCAAAACAGGAAACAUGAUGUUAAGCAAUAGUUUUUAAGCACAAUGCUACAAACAUAAAUUCACUGUGGAAAUAGAAAAAUGCAAGUAUGAUGCGUACAAACCAGAGGAUUGUAUGCAACAAUCCCAAUUCCUAGUUCUCUGCUUAUAUCAAAAUAACAAUGGUACAGAUUAGAAAACACUGGAUUCUUGUUUAUUGCUUGCAAAACUUACUAGUUAACAUAACAAUAGUUCCACUACACCUCACCUGCAAGUAGGAAUGAUUUCUUCCUCUGCAUCUCGUCCACAAGGACCACUCCAACUGCACUGCUGUUAGAUGUAGCUAGCUUCACACCUGACUCAUGAAAUCUGAGGUAGUCAUAACCCGACUCGUGAAAUCCGCAUCAUAUUAGGCUGAAUUUUGGGGGAGUUUGGUCUCUCUCUCUCUCUCUCUCUCUGCAUUUCAGGUAGUCUUUUCUUCUGCAACUACUUUCUCUAUUGUUUAUUGAUUUGGAUUUGUUUUUCAGAAGUUGCCCUUUAUCGGUUGAUUGGAAUGGAGUUUUUUUAGCUUAUCGUUUUUGGGUUUCUCUAGAUUUUCAGUUUGAGGUAAUCUAGCUUCACUGAAUUUCAAUGGAAAAUGAACUUGGUGACCAUUUGAACUCAAUCUUGGAAAUGGAGAUGUUCUUAUUUUGCUGUUCUGCGAUUCUGAAUUGUGUAAUCUCUCUUUCCUUUAUUUGAUUUUAUACUUGACAUGAACUUGACGGUUUAGUCUUUUGAUACAUAUAUAUAUAUAUAAUAAGAUAAUAUGCCAAUCAAAAUAUGCUAUAUACGUCUAAGUUUUGUGGAUCUAGUACAGCAAAUGUGGAACAGAUCUUAUCCCAGCAUAUGUGUAAUCUCUCUUUUUUGGUUUAUGCUCUCAGAUUUGGAUUACCCUUAUCAUACUAUGGAUUUUUUGCAUCAAUUUUUUUUGUAGAAUCCAGAUUGAUGCAUCUAGCAUUAAUUUUUCUCAUGGUCCUUGAUACUUUUAGGAUAGAUAUUGAUGAUUUGGGGUUCUACACAAGUCUUGCAUACUCUGAUUGGUAGGCUACUCAUAUUCUGACAUGUUUUCCUCUCUGUCCCCCUAUCUGUCACUCUCUAUAUAUAGGUAUACCUAUUGAACAUUGGAUUUGUUGAACAAGAUAGAGGUUGCAACAACUAAACUGGUUGAACAAGAUGCUCACUCUUUAUUCUCUUGCUUUUUAUUUACGUACAUACAUGCAUGCCUAAUUACGUGUGUAGGGUCAGUUAUUUGGUGGAACAAAUGAUUCCCAUAAAUCUGUGUUUGAUUUGGUAUACUUUGCAGGGGAUUUCACUGUUAAGGAUGACACAAACAGGUAUGAUUCUUCCCUAUGGCAAUCAAGGUUGUUAAAAUCGGGAUCCUAAGUAGGAUCGGUGAGAGGGUCUGGUGGAUCGGAUCGUAGGAUCGGAUCGAGGAUCGUAAGAUCCUACUUUCUAUUAAAAAAAAAAGAUAAAAAUAAAAAUUAAAAUGAUACAUAUUAAAAAUAAAGUGAAAAAUCAUAAAAUCUACGAUCCUACUUGCGAUCCUACCUACGAUCCCAUACGAUCCUACACGAUCCCAUGCGAUCCUACACAAUCCUACUUGCGAUCCUGUUAUAGCAUCGAUCCUACAACGAUCUGGAUCGUUUUGGCAAAGUAGGAUUGUAGGAUCAUACGAUCCUACGAUCCGGAUCGCGAUUUUAAGAACCAUGAUGGCAAUGCAAGCACAAAAUUAAGGAUUUUUGUCCUUCGGUCACUAAAUAAAUCAUCUGGCACAAAAAGUAUUUGCUUAUAUAUAUAUAUAUAUAUUAUGCAAUGGGGAGGAAGUAUGCAGGUUCUUCACAUCCUGAGGAUAAAUGCUAUGUGAAUUGUGGACGUAAUGUAUUGUAGUUUUUUGUUUGUUUGUUUGUUUGUUGUUAACCAAAGUGUAUAUUAAUUGAAGGUUGAACCAUGUGGUGCUGUGAUACAAUGAAGAAUAAUCUAGUACUUCACCAAUUCGGUACCUUAUUAGUUUGUAAAAGUCUGGAAUCUGAUAGGGUAUUAUGUAUGUUGAUUACAUUGUCUUGAGUUUGGAAAGAUUAUCAUGUAUCAUGUAUCAUGUAUCAUGUUUGUUGAUUCCAUUGUCUGGAAUCAGAAAUAGUAAACUACUACUUAGCUUUGCUUUAUCUAAUGUCAUCUUAUGUAAUAUGACAAGGUUUUCACCUUUUUUUCCUUUGGUUUUUCUCUCUUUCCUUCUCUUUUUUGGAAGAAAUGGUGGGAUUGGUGGCUGGGCUGAAAUUACCAAUUACACUAGAUAAAUAAUACUAUGUUGUGAUUGAUUUUACAUGGUAGGCUUUGUGGAAAUAUGUUAUUGUAGACACUGCUAUAUGAUCUCUGUUCUUAAUUGAUCUGAAAGUCAACAUUUUAAAUGGCUAGAAAUGAGAAUUUGACUGUCAAUGGUAGUUUUAUCAUUAUGUAACACAUUUAGCGGCGUUUUAGAAUAUUACAAUUAAAUUUAGUUUAUUAGUUUACAACAGUAUGAUUAAUUAAGUUGGCCCCCCAGCCUUCGCUUGCUCUUUAUUGAAAUUCUUCUGGCUCAUGCCUUUUACUCUAGGCAUGCAUUUGGGAAAUUCAGAAGUGUGGCAUUAUUUCAUUGUCCAUGGUGUUUUGGGAUCUCCUUCAAUUUUCCACUAUGUAUUCCUUUAUAUUUUCAUUGUGCAGUUUAUAUUGUUGUAAUGGAUUACAGUGUUUUGUUUCAAUUUUCAUCAGGGAGAUAAUGUACCCCUUCCUUUAACAUCAUUUGAAGCUACUGGUUUUCCUUCAGAGCUUCUUCGAGAGGUUGUCUCAUCGUGAUCGCUUCAGCCGAAGUCUUCCUUGAAGAACGUUUUCACGGUUGUUGAGUUUGCCUUGACUUUGCAGGAAGCUGGGUGCUUUUCUGUUGUUUUGAAAUGUGCACUUGCACUUGUUGUUGUUGCCACUAUAACAUCUGCUCUUCGAAUCCCUACCACUGGUAUUGGGGCAGGGACUUUCUGUAGUAGCCAAGUUAAUUGAUUCUUUAGCUUUUUCUAAUACUCCUAAUAAUGAAUUAGACUUGACUGGCUUGUGUUGUGUAUAAUCUUUUUGCUUUCAUUUGUACAUAUAAUUUGCUAUUUGAUCUUGUAAUUUACUUUUCAAGUACUAAAAUGGGCAUUUUAAUGAUAUCAUGUGUUCAUA